rnacentral:rRNA from 1 species
UCCAGACUCCUACGGGAGGCAGCAGUGGGGGAUAUUGCACAAUGGGGGGAACCCUGAUGCAGCGACGCCGCGUGGGUGAAGGAGCGUUUCGGCGCGUAAAGCCCUAUCGGCAGGGAAGAAGGAGGACGGUACCUGACUAAGAAGCCCCGGCUAACUACGUGCCAGCAGCCGCGGGAAUACGUAGGGGGCAAGCGUUAUCCGGAUUUACUGGGUGUAAAGGGAGCGUAGACGGCAGUGCAAGUCCGGAGUGAAAGCCCGGGGCUCAACCCUGGGACUGCUCUGGAAACUGUAAAGCUGGAGUGCAGGAGGGGCAGGCGGAAUUCCUGGUGUAGCGGUGAAAUGCGUAGAUAUCAGGAGGAACACCGGUGGCGAAGGCGGCCUGCUGGACUGCGACUGACGUUGAGGCCCGAAAGCGUGGGGAGCAAACAGGAUUAGAUACCCCCGUA